GGUCUUUUAAGUCUGAUGUGAAAGACUUCGGCUCAACCGGAGAAUUGCAUCAGAAACUGUUGAACUUGAGUGCAGAAGAGGAGAGUGGAACUCCAUGUGUAGCAGUGGAAUGCGUAGAUAUAUGGAAGAACACCAGUGGCGAAGGCGGCUCUCUGGUCUGCAACUGACGCUGAGGCUCGAAAGCAUGGGUAGCGAAC
rnacentral:rRNA from 1 species